rnacentral:rRNA from 1 species
GACGAACGCUGGCGGCGUGCCUAAUACAUGCAAGUAGAACGCUGAAGAGAGGAGCUUGCUCUUCUUGAAUGAGUUGCGAACGGGUGAGUAACGCGUAGGUAACCUGCCUUGUAGCGGGGGAUAACUAUUGGAAACGAUAGCUAAUACCGCAUAACAAUGGGUGACACAUGUCAUUUAUUUGAAAGGGGCAAUUGCUCCACUACAAGAUGGACCUGCGUUGUAUUAGCUAGUAGGUGAGGUAACGGCUCACCUAGGCGACGAUACAUAGCCGACCUGAGAGGGUGAUCGGCCACACUGGGACUGAGACACGGCCCAGACUCCUACGGGAGGCAGCAGUAGGGAAUCUUCGGCAAUGGGGGCAACCCUGACCGAGCAACGCCGCGUGAGUGAAGAAGGUUUUCGGAUCGUAAAGCUCUGUUGUAAGUCAAGAAUGAGUGUGAGAGUGGAAAGUUCACACUGUGACGGUAGCUUACCAGAAAGGGACGGCUAACUACGUGCCAGCAGCCGCGGUAAUACGUAGGUCCCGAGCGUUGUCCGGAUUUAUUGGGCGUAAAGCGAGCGCAGGCGGUUUGAUAAGUCUGAAGUUAAAGGCUGUGGCUCAACCAUAGUUCGCUUUGGAAACUGUCAAACUUGAGUGCAGAAGGGGAGAGUGGAAUUCCAUGUGUAGCGGUGAAAUGCGUAGAUAUAUGGAGGAACACCGGUGGCGAAAGCGGCUCUCUGGUCUGUAACUGACGCUGAGGCUCGAAAGCGUGGGGAGCGAACAGGAUUAGAUACCCUGGUAGUCCACGCCGUAAACGAUGAG